UCUCCUGCUGUUUUCAGACUACAAUUCCUAUCAUCCCUGACCCUUGCUAGCUAGGGAUGAUGGGAGUUGUAGUCCAAAAACACCUGGAGA